ensembl:lncRNA
UUUAAAAUAGUAUUUUAUUUUUCCAAAUACAUGCAAUGAUAAUUUUCAAUAUUUUCCUUUGCAAAACCUUGUGUUCCAAAAUUUUCUCCCUCUCGCUCUCUCUCCUCCCCAAGGCAGCAGGCAAUUCAAUAUACAUUUAACAUGUGCAAUUCUUCUAAACAUAUUUCCAUAUUUGUCUGCUGAUCAAGAAAAAUUAAAUCAAGAGGAAAAAAUGAGAAAAAACAAGCAAAUAAAUCCCAUCCUAGUUUCUUCCUCUACCUUCCUCUUGGAUACAGGAGGCUCUCCAAAAAAGAGCCUGUUUCCCUUCCAUAUGAUAAUAUCUUAGCAUUCACUUGACUGAUAAGGAUUACCUCCUAUUCAAUUCUAGAUCCAGUUGUCACAUAAUUAAAUCAAGUAAACAAGCAUUUAUUAAACACCUGCUUUGACUGCUAGGGGAUUUAAAAAAAAAGAGAGAAAACCAUCCUCUUUUCAAGUAGUUUCUAGUCCAAAUGUGGGAAGACAACAUCCUGUUAAUUAUUCACAAACACGAUGUAUACAGACUAAAUUGGGGGUUAGUCUAAAUUAGAGAAGGUACUAAAUUAAAGGAAGACUAGGAAAGGCUUCUUGAAGAAGUUAGGUAGGUAGGGAGUAAACUUUUAUAUAGCCCCAUCAAAUGCCAGGCACUGUGUAAAUAUUUUCUUAAAAAUUCUUUUUUUUUUCUUUCUUGUAUUUUCAUCAUUCUGUCAAGUAUAUGCUAUUAUUAUGCUAAUUUUACAGUUGAGGAAACUGAGGCAAACAGUUUAAGUGACAUGCAGUGUUACACAGGUAAUCUGAGGUUGAAUUUGAACUCAGGCCUUCCUGGCUUCAGGUCUGAUGUUACUUGCAUGUUUGGCAGGGGAUGAUAGAGACAGAUGGCUGGGGGGGGGGGAGGGGGGAAGAGUUGAUAUCAGACCCAUUCCUUAUGAAGUAGUGGUAAAUUAGUAAUAACAGACAAUUGGUAAUCUAUGCCAGAAGUCUAAUCAAUUCAGGUAAGCAUUAAUGCUUAUCUCUUACAUUUUCAAUUGCCUAUCAGUAUGUGAUCAUAAUAUUCUACUUCUACAACAGGAAACCAAUAUAGGAAGAAUAGUUGCUCUAGAUGACCUUUGGAACUCUAAAAGUCUUUGGUAUGUAUCCCUUGAUAUUGCCUAAGAUCAGAAAAGAAAGGGAAAAAAAUUGUUAAAGGGUAUCUGGAUAAAGCUGCCCAGUUGAGUCUACUCUUUGUGAGGUCCAUAGAAAGAAAAUACAAGAGUGCUCACUCCUUGGGCAUAGGAAAGUCAAAGCACAAGUCAUACUUCUUGUCAUCCAAGCUGAAGAAUUGGGGAUGAAAACAACGGCCACAUAGUUGAUUAUCUUGGAAAGGCCCCUAUAGAUGGGUUCAGCUUUAUUAUAUUUGUCAUAUCUUCAUCUCAUCCUGGCAAGAUGUUGUUGAUAUAUGUUAUUGAAUUUCAUGCUUUUAUUGCAGAAAAUUUCUCUUUGUCUUAUUUCCUUACUUUAUAAUGUAGUCUAAGGUAACUGCUUAGAAAUCUCUUGGAAGUUUCUUUAACCUUGAGAAAUGUAGCACAAAUUUGGCAUUUGGUGCAUAGAAAGACACUUUUGUAUCUGAAAA